rnacentral:misc_RNA from 1 species
CCUUUAUAAAAACUCAAAACUUAAGCAAAAACUUUCCCUGUAUCUUUUUCAGCGGCAACUCUGCCGAAUCAAAAGAUCCAAAACAGCGCACAACAUAACGAAGUAAAAAGCAAAACAAAAACGAAAAGUUGAAUAGAGAAGUAUAAAGCGAAAAAGGUAAGCAAGCAGGCAACGUUAAUAACAUCGCUGAAGUUGGCUUCUGAAAUUAUUCCAAAGAGGCGGAGGAGCAGACGGAAUGAAUCACUUGUACGAAGCGAAUGUGUUGGGUAGCCCAUAGCAUCGUCAUCGUCAUCGUAUUCUUCUUCGCUAUUAAAUCGUUAGUUAAUAUUUGUGAGUAUCGGUGGACGCUAGUGUAUUGCGGAGUAACGUGGCGUAUAAUAAGUGAAAAAUAAAGAAAUAUCUUUUCACCAGCUUCUUUAGCUUAGCUUAAUAGUGUAAAAUGUGAUUUGCUAACUUUAAUAUAUUUUGCAAAAUAAUUAAGUGAGUUUUAACCCAAAUAGUUGUGGAUGAAAAAAUCUGUGAAAAAUGCCUAUGAUUCAAGUACCUGAAGAAGGGGUGGAAGAAGAGAAUCAAAAUAUGAAAAAAGAAAGGAAAAUCAUUUUUAAACAUAUGAUAAUAGUUCUGUGCUAGUAAUUAUCAGAAAAUAAAUGAUUAGACUAUAUAUAUUUGCGUUGCAGUUCAAUCACUGCGUAUGCUGUUAUCAGAAUUCAUAACAAGUUAUUUGUGAUAACUCAUAAUUAUGUAAAUUAAUGUACUUUUCAUUGUGUUAAUUUUUUUUACAUUACCCAAAUACCGUCCUUUCUUAACAAACCAGUGUGCCUUUAUUAUAAACAUUUGCUCAUCGUUACACAAGUUUUUUUUUUUUUGCACACUCACCCGCUAAAUCUUCGUGAAAAAAUUUACAUUGUAAUUUUCCUAAAAUUUUCGCGCAAAAUACAUACCUAAGUCAUCUUAAAGUACACAAAGGAGCAGGAACUUGUUUUGCUCUCCGAAUCUCCAACAAUCAACACCUCAAAGAUGUCGUCGGUAAAGGUUGCUGUCCGGGUUCGCCCCUUCAAUAAGCGUGAAAUCAAUAUGAAUGCCGAGCUUAUUGUUGAAAUGGAUGAUAAAAAAACACGUCUUCUAAAACCAAAAGCACAAAGUACGCGUGAUGGAGGACGCGAGGGUAAUCAUGACUUUACAUUCGACUACUCUUACUGGUCAUUUGAUGAAGCAACCAAUCACUUUGCAACACAAGAAGAGGUGUACAACGAUCUCGGUACAGAUGUCGUCAACUGCGCCUUUGAAGGAUAUAAUGCAUGCGUAUUCGCCUACGGCCAAACUGGUUCGGGCAAAACGUUCACCAUGAUGGGUACGCCAGAUAAUCCAGGAUUAAUACCACGUAUUUGCCAAGAGUUGUUCGCGCGCAUGCGUGUCGGUCAAGACUCGGGUACGGUCUAUAAAACCUUAGCGAGUUAUUUGGAAAUUUACAAUGAACGUGUUAAAGACUUAUUGGGAUCGCCGAACGCGGGUCAUAAACUGCGCGUACGUGAACAUUUUACGGAUGGACCGUACGUCGUAGAUCUAUCUGAACGCGCAGUUUCCAACUUUGACGAAAUACAUGAAUGCAUUAUGCGCGGAAAUAGUCAACGGACGACUGCGAGCACCAAUAUGAAUGAUACCAGCAGUCGUAGCCACGCUAUUUUUACGAUAACUUUCAUCCAGGCGGUGUUCAUGAAUGACAAACCAAGUGAAACGGUUUCCAAAAUACAUUUGGUUGACUUGGCAGGAAGUGAACGUGCCGACGCUACUGGCGCCACUGAUGAACGUCUCAAAGAGGGCGCUCAUAUAAAUAAAUCUCUAGUGACACUGGGCAGCGUAAUAUCUGCUUUGGCAGAGCAGUCGGACAGUUCGAAGAAAAAAAAGAAAUCAUGCAAUCACAUUCCGUAUCGCAAUUCCAUACUCACUUGGCUGUUGAGAGACAGUUUAGGCGGCAAUAGCAAGACCAUUAUGAUCGCUGCACUUUCACCGGCUGAUUGUAAUUUCAAUGAAACGUUAAGCACAUUACGUUAUGCUAAUCGAGCUAAGAACAUCAUCAAUAAGCCCACAAUCAAUGAAGAUGCAAAUGUCAAGCUCAUACGUGAAUUACGUGACGAGAUUACAAAACUCAAAUCCAUGCUGGACGGUGAUAUUGCAACUUUGCAACCAUCGCUCAAGGUCUUGGAAGACUUGCAAAAGAAGGAAGCUCAAGAAAAAGUUUUAACCGAAGAAUGGACUGAAAAAUGGAAGGAAGCUCAAUCGAUUUUGAAGGAACAAAAAAGUUUAGGCCUCCGUAAGUCUGGUCUCGGUGUCGUUUUAGACUCAGAAAUGCCACAUCUUAUUGGAAUACAUAAUGAUGUCACCACUGGUGUAACCUUAUACAGUUUAAAGGAUGGUGAGACACUUAUCGGUACUGAACACUCAGAGACGCCGCAAGAUAUUGAACUUGUUGGUGAUGGUAUAUGCCCUCAACAUUGUAGAAUAGUCUUAGAAGGCGGCUUGGUUACUUUACAUCCCCAUCCCGGUGCACAAUGCUGGCUUAAUGCCCAUCUCAUCGACGAGCCAACACGUAUAUCGCAAGGAGACAUCAUUCUACUGGGCCGCACUAAUAUCUUUCGUUUCAAUAAUCCCGCGGAAGCUGCAAGAUUACGAAAAGAUCUUAGUCGCUCACAGCUGGAUAUGUCUCGUUUAUCAUUAAUUACUUCAUCUCGUGAAAAUUUGCUUAGUUCAAGUUUUUACUCAGAAGAGGAUUCGAUGUGUGGUAGCACAAAUGCAUCACCAUUCAAACGACCGGAACAUCAGUACUAUCCUACCAAACCAUUAUCGCGCGAUGAUCCAGAACUACAAGAAGAAAAUCGAAGAAUUCUGGAGACAAUUGAAAAUGCUUUAAAGCAGUUGAAUAUUGAACGUGUGCAGAUGCAUGAUCAAUACGAAUCUAAAGUGCGAAAAUUGGCAGAUGAGCUUAAACGUCUAGAUAUUGAACAAAUGGAUAAAUUGGAGAUUUUACAUUGCCAAGAAAAGGAGCUCCUUGCUAGAAAGGAUAUGCUACUUUGGGAGAAAAAUAAUGAGAAAGUGCAGAUUUUAUGGCACUACAUGGCCAUGUUACGAUCGAGCGAGACACGAGGUGUAAGGAUUGGAGGGAUCGAUAAGAAAGGUGUAGCGAAACGCAAUGACAAAAACGUUUUUACAAAGAAAAAGAAACAGACAAAAAUAGGUAGACACUCACUAUUUAAGACGAUGACGUACAAGCGAGUUAUUCGAAAAUUUCAAUUAAAGAGAAAGAUUGAUAUUGUGUGUAGACAAAUUUCAACAUUUCAAACUCAGCUUGAUUCAAAGAAGCGACAUUUUUCCGAAUAUGUAGCUAAAGAAUUGCAAGAGCUGCAAGACUGUGGCAAAUUAGAUGAGAUUGGCUUAACGAUUGCUGCGGGAGUGCCGUUAUCAGAUCAAUUAUUACUACAAGUGGCGGAUUCUUUAGAUUCGUUUGCUUCACAGUUCAUCAAAGACACUAUUAAAAAAAAUAAUGACGAAAUAAGAAAAUUGGACGAAAAAAUCAUGGAAAAGGAGUGCAUAUUGAAUGAAAGUACAAAGAAAAUUGCCGAAGUAGAUGAGCAAAUAUUGCAGAUUCAAGAACAACUGUCGAAGCUGCAAGACGAACAACAGGAAAUUGAAUUAAGGAAAAAGUUAGAAUUGAAUUUAGAUUUAACGAAAACUACUUCCGCAAACACAGCAGACGACUCCACUGAAGGAUGCUAUACAUAUCAUACAGCUCAAUCGAAUAUUUCACUUAAUUCGCCUACAAUUGUCGGUGAGCAAAUGUCGCCAAUGAGCACGCUUUCAGCGACUUCGGCUGAUUUUGACGAUACAAGCACCACAGAGAGAGGUAUCUCCUCUAGUGCUUCAGUCAUUAGCAAUCCAACAGAGGCAAGUGAGAUAGGCAACAACAACAAUUUACAACCGACAACUUCACAAACUAUAAUGUGUGAUAGUGGUGUAUAUGUAGAACCAGUCAGAACACCACAGCAACAACAGUAUUGCAAUGGAUUUGCCAACAACAAAGUCAAGGACAAUAACAAUAGAUUUGACGAAAUGCCUAUCUUAAAUGAGAGUGCAAAUAUAACAUUAAAUGGUGCUAAUGUGCGCACAUCAGACGAUGAUAGCACAUCAUGCUCUUCAUGUGAAGUGGGACGUAACUGCGACAUACCUAGACCAUACUGUUCCAUGCAUGCGCUUAGGCGUCAAAUUUCCAACCAAAAAGCCUUAAUUAUGAGAAACCUCGAAAUGCAUGCGUCAAAAUCAAUAUUAGAUGAACAGAUCGGAGAUUUGCAAGAGUUACAACAUAGACUUAUAGCUAUGAAAAAAGAGUUGAUUCAAUCCUCAGACCACCAUAUAGUGGAGAUAGAUGAAUAUGGUACCUCCUUUCAGGCGGAUAAUGAACAAUUAAUUAGGAAUGAUUGUAUAGGGGAGUCCAGCUACGUGACUAGCAUGACACGUUCUUGCCCCUCAAUGGCCGACUUUCAUAUAAAACACAUUGUCUCAUUGUUAUGUCUAAUUUUUGUUUGCUCCACUUUACUCUUAAUAAAUUUUUAUCCCGGUUAACUAGGAUAACAUGACUAGUUUUUGUAAGGUCUACAUUAUAUGUAGAAUCUAAAAAUACAAACACAUUCCUGUUUCAUUAUAUAUGUACAUAUAUUAACAUAUAAAAAGAGAUGAGAGAAAUAUAGAUUAAGAAAAGUUAGCUAACAAAAAUAACUGACAUAUGAAUAUACCCACCAUCGGUCAUCAAAGAACAGACAUACAUACAUUCAUACCUUCGCCCAUUUGACAAUUAAGACUAUAAACGGACUUAAUGCGCAUGUAUCUUAGUAAGAACUGAUGCGGAGCAUUUCAUUACAAUACCGAGCUUCGUGAUACGCGGUGCUGGUAAACAAACACAUUAUGAGUAUGAAGUGCGCA